CUGGUAAUCCUCUUUCUAAUGACACUGUGACUUCAGAAAACCUGCAAGCAGCCUGUGGUUCUAAAUUAGAGCCUCCUCCAUUGGUUGAACAUGUUCAGUCUACGUCCAAAAGUGAAGUCCAUGUGGAACGAUUUGUACAAAGAUCUGAGAAGCAAGAGUUGAGCUGUGGUGACAUAUCCAGACAAGAGAAUAAUGGCCACAAUAUCCAAAUAGCAGAUAAGAUGGAACUCACAAGGGGGAAAGACACCUGUGUAGUUUAUCCUACAAAUUGUACAGUUGACACCAUGUCCAUCCAGGAUUCUAGUGGUUGUUUG
rnacentral:lncRNA from 1 species